GUAGGUGUAGCUCAGCAGGUAGAGCACCUGACUGUUAAUCAGGAAAUCGCAGGUUCGAGGCCUGCCAUCUACG
rnacentral:tRNA from 1 species